CGGGUGAGUAACGCGUGGAAAACCUGCCGUAUACUGGGGGAUAACACUUAGAAAUAGGUGCUAAUACCGCAUAAGCGCACAGACCCGCAUGGGACAGUGUGGAAAACAAAAAGCUAAAGCUUUUUGUGGUAUACGAUGGUUCCGCGUCUGAUUAGCUUGUUGGCGGGGUAACGGCCCACCAAGGCGACGAUCAGUAGCCGGCCUGAGAGGGUGAACGGCCACAUUGGGACUGAGACACGGCCCAGACUCCUACGGGAGGCAGCAG
rnacentral:rRNA from 1 species